rnacentral:snRNA from 1 species
AUCGCUUCUCGGCUCUAUUGAGCUAAGAUCAAAAGUGUAGUAUCUGUUCUUAUCAGCUUAAUAUCUGAUACAAUCCCCAUAGGGGAUUCAGUAUAUUAAUGCGUUUUUUGUAAUACAGGUGGGUGCAUGGAGCUUGCUCCAACCCUGCCAGGGUCGACCCGAUAUUGCAGUUUAAUCGGGACUGGCCUAAAAAGU